rnacentral:tRNA from 1 species
GUUUACAUAGUUUAAAUAAAACCUUACAUUUUCAUUGUAAAAUUGAAUAAUUUUCUGUAAAUU